rnacentral:lncRNA from 1 species
GGGACCAGAUCGAAUUAGCUCUGGUUCAAGGAGCCUAGCCUUCUUUCGUAGCCAAGGGCGUUAAGGCUCUCCUUCAGAGAUGGAGAGAAAGGGCUGGUAUAGAAUCCGAUCUUUCUCUUUGAACGAAUCCGGUGCUAGUCUUUACUGCCCUCCUCCCUCCCUAGCUACUUUCAUACCAGUCAAUCUCACAUCAGGAAGAGCCUUUGGUUCUGUGAUCAGAUCAGCCAAGCCAAGAAGAAUCGUUGAAGAAAAGAAUAAGAAGAAUCCAUUGUUGGAGUUGGAGGAAUACGCGAUGCUAGAAUGGCUAUUUCUUUGAGAGCUAGUAGAAGGGCUUGAUCCCUUUCGAGCUAACUUAACUGCCAACAAGAGAAAGAAAUAGCAAGUACUACUCUUUCUCCCUCUCGACACGAGAAAGCUUGAGUUUUGUUUCUAGCUAAGACACUAAGAGUGAUUGAUGUCAUACCAGUAGCCCUUCUUCCAACAAAGGUUAUUCUGCCUGCGGGUUCUGGAACAACUCCUUCUAUAGCUGCUGAUUCGUGAUCUCGACAAAUCUUUUUCGAAAGGCUAGCAGCUGAGUCUGUAACCUAUCUCAAAGAGAAGGCUUUGAAUGUCAUAUGACUCCAUCAAGAAAGUGGGGUGGGAUAGCGCUUUCAUCCUAGCUACGAUNN